AAUUCAACCAACCGUGGAUUGU
rnacentral:miRNA from 1 species